CAGCGCUCUCAGGACAUCUCCACCAUGGCCUGGGCUCUGCUGCUCCUCACCCUCCUCACUCAGGGCACAGGGUCCUGGGCCCAGUCUGCCCUGACUCAGCCUGCCUCCGUGUCUGGGUCUCCUGGACAGUCGAUCACCAUCUCCUGCACUGGAACCAGCAGUGACGUUGGUGGUUAUAACUAUGUCUCCUGGUACCAACAGCACCCAGGCAAAGCCCCCAAACUCAUGAUUUAUGAGGUCAGUAAUCGGCCCUCAGGGGUUUCUAAUCGCUUCUCUGGCUCCAAGUCUGGCAACACGGCCUCCCUGACCAUCUCUGGGCUCCAGGCUGAGGACGAGGCUGAUUAUUACUGCAGCUCAUAUACAAGCAGCAGCACUCUCCACACAAUCCUCUUGCCUCAGCCUCCCAAGUCAGCCCAAGGCUGCCCCCUCGGUCACUCUGUUCCCGCCCUCCUCUGAGGAGCUUCAAGCCAACAAGGCCACACUGGUGUGUCUCAUAAGUGACUUCUACCCGGGAGCCGUGACAGUGGCCUGGAAGGCAGAUAGCAGCCCCGUCAAGGCGGGAGUGGAGACCACCACACCCUCCAAACAAAGCAACAACAAGUACGCGGCCAGCAGCUAUCUGAGCCUGACGCCUGAGCAGUGGAAGUCCCACAGAAGCUACAGCUGCCAGGUCACGCAUGAAGGGAGCACCGUGGAGAAGACAGUGGCCCCUACAGAAUGUUCAUAGGUUCUCAACCCUCACCCCCCACCACGGGAGACUAGAGCUGCAGGAUCCCAGGGGAGGGGUCUCUCCUCCCACCCCAAGGCAUCAAGCCCUUCUCCCUGCACUCAAUAAACCCUCAAUAAAUAUUCUC
rnacentral:lncRNA from 1 species